rnacentral:rRNA from 1 species
UACGUAGGGUGCGAGCGUUGUCCGGAAUUAUUGGGCGUAAAGAGCUCGUAGGCGGUUUGUCGCGUCGGCCGUGAAAGCCCGGGGCUUAACCCCGGGUCUGCAUUCGAUACGGGCUAGCUAGAGUGUGGUAGGGGAGAUCGGAAUUCCUGGUGUAGCGGUGAAAUGCGCAGAUAUCAGGAGGAACACCGGUGGCGAAGGCGGAUCUCUGGGACGGUACUGACGCUGAGACGCGAAAGCGUGGGGAGCGAACAGG